rnacentral:rRNA from 1 species
GACGAGGGGUCCAAGCGUUGUUCGGAAUCAUUGGGCGUAAAGCGGGUGUAGGUGGCUCUAUAAGUCAGAAGUGAAAGCCCCGGGCUUAACCCGGGAAGUGCUUUUGAUACUGCAGAGCUUGAAUGUGGGAGAGGCUAGGGGAAUUCCCGGUGUAGCGGUGAAAUGCGUAGAUAUCUGGAGGAACACCGGUGGCGAAGGCGGCAUCCUGGACCAACACUGACACUGAGGAGCGAAAGCCAGGGGAGCAAACGGG